rnacentral:rRNA from 1 species
GGGUUGUGAGGUUAAGCGACUAAGCGUACACGGUGGAUGCCCUGGCAGUCAGAGGCGAUGAAGGGCGUGCUAAUCUGCGAUAAGCGCCGGUAAGGUGAUAUGAACCGUUAUAACCGGCGAUACCCGAAUGGGGAAACCCAGUGUGACUCGUCACACUAUCAUUAACUGAAUCCACAGGUUAAUGACGCGAACAGGGGGAACUGAACCAACUAAGUACCCCGAGGAAAAGAAAUCAACCGAGAUUCUCCCAGGAGCGGAGAGCGAACGGGGAGGA